UUAGUCAUGCUUAUACCAGAGCAAGAGGGCAUCAUCAAAACAAAUAAAAUUUUUAUUUCAAUCUCCAAAAAGUAAUUUUAACCCAAUCAGAUGAUCACAAAUGAAAGAUUUUAAGAACGUUGUCGACACAAAGACCAAGGCAGAAAGAAACAUUUGAUGUCAGUUGUAGGGCGGUGGCUAAAAUAGGUCCAAGAAUGCGGCGAUUGUGUGAAAUAGCAGCAACAAACGAAACACCAAGUGAGACAAAUACUAAUUUAAUAUCUCGCCCAGUCUCUCUCCCCUAAAAAGAAUCGGCUGCCUCAGUGAAGGGAGUCUUUUUGGCUCAGUUUACGAGGCCCUCUAGUGGCCACAGUAGGUAUGACUGCUACCUGUCGGGGAGUCCCAUGACAAAUCUCAAAUGUUGUUGAAAGUGAAGUAAAAAGCAGAAAUAUGCCAGUGGUCAAUGCGGUAUAAACCCUUACUAAUGCCACAACAACAGCCAAGAUUAAAUUGAUAAGCAAUUUCCUGUGUAGUGCGCUUAGCCUGCUAUGGCUACAUGAAAGAGUUGUAGUUAUUUUAGUUGAGUUUAAACUCUGCGUAAACUCUGCCAUCAUCCUGUCAGCUCUCUGUAGCGUAAUAAACUGUAACAUGCCUCUUGUUCUCGGGUCUCAGCUUCCGAUAGUGUUUUAUUUUCCAUCUCAAGUGAGGGCACUGCGUGUGCGCUGGAGGGGAGCCUCCCCGUGGAGCUCAUUAGAGUGCAUUUGAACUUGUCACGUUGAUUUUGGUCUUAGAUGACUUUGCAGACAGAAUAGAACCAUGCUUGCUUCAAAGACAAAAACGAGCUGGCAGUAAAAGGAAAUGGGUUGAAAUGAGGCAACGGUGAUGAUUGCGAGAGGGCAAUUUAGAAAAAAGAGAGGGAUAAUGAGUUCAACGCAUGUGCAUGACUGGCAGAAUAAUCACUUCAAAGUUGAAGAAGGCGGGUUACAAAGUAGAAGAAGAAAACACAUGAAGAAGGUGAUGAAAUAUGAUAUGACGUGUCAGAGAACAGGAAUUCAGUGGAUUGAAGUGAAUUGAGGAAGAGAUUUUAAGCAGUAUCAUUACUUGCUCAAUGAUGAAAAGAUAUUUCUGUUUUUUUUCCCGCUGAGUUGAUCAAAAGUGUUUGUUUAUAUUACACAAUAUUUGUUGCAGCACUCUGAGCAAACUGGCAGCUCUGCAGGCACUGGACCUACUCUGGAACCUAUUAAUAGUCCACCCCUCCUUUUGUUCAUGUAAUGCACAAGUGCACAAUAAUCCUCUGACAGUGGCUUUGUAGUUUGCGAUUCUUCAAAGGUCAAGUGGCCCUUGUCCAUGACCCUUUUAGUCUCCAUGUCAAGUCAAGUCAGUGUUCUGUAGAACUUUCAGUCUUUUGGACUACCCAAAGAAGAGAGCAUGGACCACAAUGGGGGGAAAAAAAAGAAAUUUGGGGGCAUUAUGCCCUCCACCAAAUCCCAAACUAUCACCUAUCUUGCUACGAAAGACAUCACCCUCCCAAGGAACACUCAAAAGAAAUGGAUGCUGUGGGGAGCUGGAGCCUUUCCCAGUUGACUUGGACGAGAGGUACAAAAAGAGACGGAGACCCUUCCAUAUUUACAGUCGAUACACCUUCUCACUGAGUGGGUACUGAACACACGCCUGGCUGCGCGGAAGUGAGGUGAGUGAACCGGGAGACUUUCAGUGAUUUAUUCUACUUUCUCUUAAAAUUGUCGGUAUUACUGCAUUGAAGCUGUUGAGGAAAUCUUUCGUGACGUCAUUCACUCUGACCUUGCUGUUUGUUACACUGCUUUUCGUUUCAUCUUCCUUCGUCAGUGUGACAAACUGGAUUUGAUCUCCAAAGGGCAGCGUCGGAUCAAUUUUCACACGGCAGAUCAUUUCUUUUCGUGCAAAAGCUGCUGUGCAGAAAGUCACUAGACUAGAGAACAUCCAGAGGAAUAUAAACCAGGACAGCAGCAUCAUGACUUUAAUGACUCCGCAAGCUGACCUGACGACUUGCUUCCUGACAUUUGCAUUUUCGGGUAGCAAAAUGCAACGAUGAAUAUUUCCCUAACAUAAGCAUUAUCAUCUCUUUUUUCCCCCACUAACCAGACGUCCAGCAUCAUUCUUCAAAAAGGUCCGGACAAAGAGUGACGCCAUGCAUCACAGAACCAUAUGGACCAGGGACAUGUUUUUUUUUUGGUCUCUUUAAAUGAGGACUAUGAAAACAUUGUGGUCUGGCAAUGCAACAAGCAACAAAGAGCUUUUCCGAAUGUCUGACACAUUUUUAUGAAUAAGUAACUGACAGCACACUGUUGCAUAAUUGAGCCAAUUAAACUAUGAAUCAAUUUUAAAAUCUACAGUCCAUGUUAAUAUGUAUCUGUUUUUACUUCCUGUUUUUUUCAUAAAGUAGUUCACUGCGACAAGCGAUGAAUGAAUAAUGCAGUUGGUCACAUCGUCUUAUGAUUUUCACUUAAUGUGCAUGAUUAAAAUAUGACUGUUCAUUUUUUUCUUGCCGCAUCCAAGGACGUCAACAUUUUGUUUUAUGUUUUAAACACGUCAUAAUUACACAUGCAGUGAGACAAAACUCAUUCAGAGAUGUAUUUAUUAUUUUGUUAAAACGGUGUUUAGACUUUGGUGAGGUUUUACACAUUGAGAUUGCUUUCCGCUGGCAAUGCACUUUUGUGAAUCAUCUGUAAAAUAACUUCAUUAAAAUCAUGAGGUGAGAUGA